GGACGAAAAACACAGUGACAACACUUUGGUCUGCAGCUUCCGUUUUCCGGUGGAAAGAGAAAUGGCCCUGUAUUUCCAAGAAAAGUCCAAUAGGAGUGCAUCCCUCAGACAAUCCGGUGCAUGGACAUCCUGUGCCAGUGUGGUCCGAGACUACAGCAGAUCAAGCCUGUGAACGGACAGACAAGAGGCGUGACAUGCGGAACAUCAGGCUCACCCCACGAAAAGCAGUGCAUGAUCAACGCCACCCUCAGCAAGGCAAUCUGCUGGAAGUGAUGUACUCUCUCUCUCACUCUGGGGGUCCAAGCACUGGGGCCUUCAGCAAGUAAGACACAAGGGGUACAAAAUAAUUUGUACAUCACAGAUAUAUAUUCCCACUGUGCCCAUGAUAAAGGUUAACUACAUUACUGUAGCUGGCUACUUUGAACAACACUUGUAUGUAAUAUAACUAAGGCUGUCAUACAAUAAAAUAAAAAA